rnacentral:rRNA from 1 species
GGAAUAUUGGGCAAUGGAGGGAACUCUGACCCAGCAACGCCGCGUGAAUGAAGAAGGUCUUCGGAUUGUAAAGUUCUGUGAUGGGGGACGAAGAAAGUGACGGUACCCCAAUAGCAAGCUACGGCUAACUACGUGCCAGCAGCCGCGGUAAUACGUAGGUAGCAAGCGUUGUCCGGAAUGACUGGGCGUAAAGGGUGCGUAGGUGGUUUGGCAAGUUAGCAGUGAAAUUCCGAGGCUUAACUUCGGCGCUACUGCUAAGACUGUCAGACUUGAGUACAGGAGAGGUAAGUGGAAUUCCUAGUGUAGCGGUGGAAUGCGUAGAUAUUAGGAGGAACACCAGAGGCGAAGGCGACUUACUGGCCUGCAACUGACACUGAGGCACGAAAGCGUGGGGAGCAAACA